CUGGUUGCGCCUGGGACGACGUUCCCCAGCGCUCAGUACGCCGACGUCAUCAACGUGUGUCAGCUCUACGGACGCAUCCUGCAAAUGUGUGAGUUCGAAGGCCAGCUGUACGAUCUGAACGAAAUGAUCGGGUGUCUUCUCUGUACCACUGUCGGCGUCACGUACGGUGAUACGGUCGUCGGAGACGUGUUCCUCACCAAGAACCGAACAGCCAACGGGUCUCUGGCGAACCAGUGGCAGCUCUGCA